GAUGAACGCUGGCGGCGUGCCUAAUACAUGCAAGUCGAGCGAACGGACGAGAAGCUUGCUUCUCUGAUGUUAGCGGCGGACGGGUGAGUAACACGUGGAUAACCUACCUAUAAGACUGGGAUAACUUCGGGAAACCGGAGCUAAUACCGGAUAAUAUUUUGAACCGCAUGGUUCAAAAGUGAAAGGCGGUCUUGCUGUCACUUAUAGAUGGAUCCGCGCUGCAUUAGCUAGUUGGUAAGGUAACGGCUUACCAAGGCAACGAUGCAUAGCCGACCUGAGAGGGUGAUCGGCCACACUGGAACUGAGACGCGGUCCAGACUACUACGGGAGGCAGCAGUAGGGAAUCUUCCGCAAUGGGCGAAAGCCUGACGGAGCAAAGCCGCGUGAGUGAUGAAGGUCUUCGGAUCGUAAAACUCUGUUAUUAGGGAAGAACAUAUGUGUAAGUAACUGUGCACAUCUUGACGGUACCUAAUCAGAAAGCCACGGCUAACUACGUG
rnacentral:rRNA from 1 species